rnacentral:lncRNA from 1 species
AGGCUUCGGCCAUUCGCCGCUCGCGCGUUAUGCCGGUGGUGCGCGCUGCCGCUGCCUCGUCGGAGGUGCCCGACAUGAACAAGCGCAACAUCAUGAACCUGAUCCUGGCUGGUGGCGCUGGUCUGCCCAUCACCACCCUGGCUCUGGGCUACGGUGCCUUCUUCGUGCCCCCCAGGUGCGCAGCGCAGCAUUGUAUGCACGUGUACCAUCUUCGCUUGCGACUGGAACGCCUCUCGCGGAUUAAAGAGCGGUCGACUUCAAGUCGGGGCAAGCGUAUGUGGAUUCGGCUUGCACCACAGAAUGGCCGCGCUCGCGUCGGGCCGCGUGAUCAGCCCAGCCGAGCUGACCCAUAGCUGUCUACAUUGUUCCUCUUUACAGCUCUGGCGGUGGCGGCGGUGGCCAGGCCGCUAAGGACGCUCUGGGCAACGACAUCAAGGCCGGGGAGUGGCUGAAGACCCACCUGGCUGGUGACCGCUCGCUGUCCCAGGGCCUGAAGGUGGGAAAAUAGGAACGUAUAAUUCAGCUGCAGUUGAGUGUGCCGCGGGAGCGCACAGUCGAGGUCGACCAUUCCUCUCACGCGGUUCGCUUUCUUUACUUGCAGGGUGACCCCACCUACCUGAUCGUCACCGCCGACAGCACCAUCGAGAAGUACGGCCUGAACGCCGUGUGCACUCACCUGGGCUGCGUCGUGCCUUGGGUGGCGGUGAGUCGCGCCAAACGAUGAACCAACUUUACUGCGGCGAGCGGUCGGCGAACCCUGAAAGUCUGGACUAGACGUAUUGUUGAUGUCAACUGUAAUUAUGUCUCUGCCCUGAGUCAUUUGUGUGCUUGACACUCGCAGGCCGAGAACAAGUUCAAGUGCCCUUGCCACGGCUCUCAGUACAACGCUGAGGGCAAGGUGGUCCGUGGCCCCGCUCCCCUGGUGAGCAGCAGCAGCAAUCUGGAGCUCGCGGGGCCUAGGGGUACUUGCAACAACAACACGGGCUGGAGGGGGGUUGCAGUGAAGCGUACGGGGACCAGUAUUGUCGGUACUGGUAUGCCCGGGUCUCCUCAGGAGCCAUCGCGUCCGCAGUCAACGUCCCAAUCCUAACUUCGUUUACGUAUCCCUCCUUUUGCAGUCGCUGGCCCUGGCCCACUGCGACGUGGCUGAGUCUGGCCUGGUCACCUUCUCCACCUGGACGGAGACUGACUUCCGUACCGGCCUGGAGCCCUGGUGGGCGUAAAUCCGCUCCUGCUACUGCCGCGUUUUGACGGCGCAGCUGCUACAGCCGCGGCCCGCGUGUUGAUUGUCUCUCUCAGCCAGGCCG